GUACAGCGAGAUCAAACAACAUACCGCCGACACUCAGUGGAACGCCUGGCCUGCUGUUGUCCCGCUGUGCUGAUUCUGAGGGUACCACGUGCAAAUUACAAUUUGUUUUACCUUGUGGGUAACACAUGCGCGCUUUGUGACAGUAUAGGUAGUUGCGUCAACAGGUCCUGACAGGUGGCGACAUCUGGCAAUCACGGACGCUAAAGCCGAUGAAACUGUUCCUCCACCUUCUUGUCAUCUUCUGUAGGUAGUUGAGAGGUGAUUGGAAAGUCCGGAUCUCAACAUCAGCUGUUAUCUAUUGGUGCGCCCUGUAUAUACUUCUGUGUGUGACGUCAGUGCGCCAACUGUGCUGGACGAUAAAGUUUACUUGAAUUAUUUAACUUCUAACUUUAUAUUUCUUUAUACUUAUAAAUUAUGCAAAUCUGUCUGUACAAUUUGUAAACGUAUACACGUAAAAGUAGCUGUAUGACAAUACAUUGAUGAAAUGUCUGCCUUUGUACAUCCGCCCCGAGAAGAUUCGGGUCAGAAUGGGUCUUCAGCA